AUGCUCUCAGGGUAGUGAGAGCAACGGCGGCACGGAGGAGAGCUACAAUGGAUAAACUAACGGGCCACGGGAGGACCGCGCUUUGAUUUAUAAUCCGUAGAGAGAUACCAUCUCUUAUGCCAUUCACGAGAGACAAGUGAAAUAAUGGUUAAGGGAUCUCACAACCUCGGAAAUAAACCACCAAUUCGACAUGGAUCUUUCCAAAACAGAGGUUUGAGCAUCGACAGCGCCUUUUAGAAACCGUAUGCCUCCGCCUGCUUCGAACGGCGAAUUUGGGAUGAGAAGCAUUUAUCGUUUUCUGUACAGACACAUGUCCUCUCUUCAUAGGUGAAUAAUCUGAUUUAAUUUCUUCGGUAAAACCUAUUCUAUAUGCUAGCCAUAUGCUUCUCAUCCUUUACCGGAACCCUUACUGUUGACUGCCACGCGGAUACGCAGCCCUCCAUUGGAUGGCAAAAGAACCAGGACAAAUUUCCUCGCAUUGAAAAGUGGAACCCAUACGAUACUCUGGCAGUAUGUACGAGGAGGAGUCGGUUGCUAUCUUUGGUUAUCUAGCUGUAUGAGUGUUACUCGGCCGUCAUAAAGCUAGCUAACCGAAUGUAGGAAUGUCCUCCAAACCUGCGACUCGGACAGGAAUAAAUGGUGUCUAGGAGUAAAGACACAAAAUAACAUAAUUGAUAUGCAAUUACAGGCCAAUACCUCAUUGCCUUUCUGGUUGAUCCAGUGCCCUUGUCACUGCAGUGGCUGCCUGAGAUACACCCACAAACUCUGCAGUAUGAACAGCACAAACUGUCUACUAAAUGUGACUGCCAGCCAUUCACACCAGGUCUGGAUUGAGCAAGGGAAAAGUGGCACAGUCGUCACAAAAAAGGAGAAAGCAGGAGGGGAAGAAAAAGGCCAACCCCCUUGUCCCUCUUCCCUUAAAUCUCCAUCACCGGAAGCCUUUGGUGCCAUCUGUGCCCCUGGAGAAAAGGACGGGCGAGAUGCCUCCACCCUGUGCCAACGGGGACAAAGGAGCUGCCAGUUAGAGCGGCCCCCCUCGCAGGCAGCCAGAGGACUCUGUGUGACUGACUGGGGCUGAGCUACGGAAGCCAUCUUGAUGGAGAGUCUUGCUGCUGCUCCUAAAAUGGCUGUGUUGGCAUGAGGUCCUGCAGGUGUUGACAACCUCUAGGGGAAGACUCUUCCAUCAGCCCUGAGCCCUGGGCCCUGAAGCCUGAGCCCUGGGCCCUUCCUCAUUGGCAUCCUCUCCAGUCAAACACUGAGAAAUGAGGGCACUGAAUAAUCCCCCCUAAAGUUAACAGACAAUGCUUGUAGAAAUUUACUGUAAGGACAAUAUUUGGAGAUAUUUACUGUAAGGACAAUGUUUGGAGAAAUUUACUGUAAGGACAAUAUUUGGAGAUAUUUACUGUAAGGACAAUAUUUGGAGAUAUUUACUGUAAGGACAAUGUUUGGAGAUAUUUACUGUAAGGACAAUGUUUGGAGAUAUUUACUGUAAGGACAAUGUUUGGAGAUAUUUACUGUAAGGACAAUGUUUGGAGAUAUUUACUGUAAGGACAAUGUUUGGAGAUAUUUACUGUAAGGUCAAUGUUUGGAGAAAUGUACUGUAAGGACAAUGUUUGGAGAUAUUUACUGUAAGGACAAUGUUUGGAGAUAUUUACUGUAAGGACAAUGUUUGGAGAUAUUUACUGUAAGGACAAUGUUUGGAGAUAUGUACUGUAAGGACAAUGUUUGGAGAAAUGUACUGUAAGGACAAUGUUUGGAGAAAUGUACUGUAAGGACAAUGGACAACAGAGGACAACAGAUUAUCUGAUGAUAUAUUGCACGGCUGAGAGUCUAUAGUUUCAACAUAAGUUUUAACAUUACAGCAGAAUGUAAGACAAUGUGUGUAUGAUGUGAAAUCAAAGGGGAUGAGAUCAACAUGUGUUCAUACCUUAAUCUAAGGACAGGUGUGUGUGUGUGUGGUGCGUGUGUGCGUGUGUGUGAAUGUGCGUGUGUGUGGGAGGGGGGUACUCUUUAGAGUACUCUGGAGUGUACUGGGCUUCAGACAAGCACUACAGUGCCCUAAUGUGUGGGCUGUUUACAAGAGAAGCUCUCUGGAUGUCUAUCCUCUGUCAUGUGCAAUUAGUUACUUUAUGAAUAGAACUGUCUACUCUAUGCAAAUAAAUGUGAAUGACUCAACCUCUGGCUGUAUUGCAAAUGUUGUUUAAUGUUUGACUGUCACAGUGAAAAGAAAGACAUUGUUUGGUGAAGAUUCCAUCCAUUUACUGUAUAUCCAUCAAAUGCUGCAUUUUUCCUAUUACAAAUAUUAUCUGCAUGCGUUCAUAGUGAUCAGGGAAUGUUCUACAUGAAAUGUGUUAGAUACAGUAUUGAAGCAGUCAGAUUAAUAGCCGUCUCAUUGCCUGAUUUUUAUUAUUAUCCUUAUUCAGAGAGAUAGACAGUUUUGAACAUACCUGCAAUAAAGAAAGGGACACAUAUUUGUACACAAACGUCUUACAAAACAUGUUGUUGUAAUUGAGUUCUGACUUGUCAUGACUUCUGUGCUGUUUGAAUUGAAUGUGUAUACAGAAUAAAUAAUACAACAGAUGUCUAAAAUA